rnacentral:lncRNA from 1 species
GUAGGAAGGAAGCGACGCGAGGCGGCGGUGAAGGGAGAAACGAAAGCUCCGGCCGGUUGCACAAUGGGGCACGGCCGACGGAACAGAAACAGACGGCGCGGCGCGUAGGUGAGACGCCGACGCCGUAUCGGAGACAAUGGACAAUCGGGGUGUGUGUGCGUGUGUGUGCGUGUGAUGGGAGAAGGCCCUUUUCACUGCGCGCCGAUUCACGCCGCAGUUCCGUCGAUGAAAGAAGAGUUACUCGGAAGAAAACAAAAGAGGGCUGCGCCAAAGGUCUCUUACCGGAAGCCACGUGACAUCGCGGCGUCGAUGCGGCUGCUGGCACAGACGAACAACAGUUUUAAAUAAAGUUUCGGGCAUCGAUUAA